UCGUCACUUCCUGCCGGAAGAUAUCAGUGGACAGGAAGCAUUUCAUUAGAGCCGCGGCCUGUUGCGCCUGGCUGCCGGAGUGGGAGACAGCGCGGAUGGAGUAGCCUCGGAGGAGCCUCAGGACCCCUCGAGGUCUGGGACCCCACGCCUGGUGACUCUCCGUGGGUUCUGAGGCUGGGAAGACCACGCACGAGCUCUACCUUCGGUGGCCUCUGCUGUGCCCCAGGAGGACAGCCUGGAGGAAGAGGGAAUGGCUCCUGCCCUGACAGCCAGGCCCAGGAAGGAAACACAUUCAAGAAUGAGAGAUAUACACAGAGUGAAAAUGGAGGCUUGGAGUAGAAUUUGUCACGCUUCAGCUGCUACCAAAAAGGUAGGGGUAGCAAUUAUGAUCUCAAAGUUAUGGCUAAAAUAGAUUUUAAUAAA